UCACUGCUUGUGCCUCUCCUUCCCUUCACAGGUGGGUCCCUGGGAUCCCCAGGUUUCUGCAAUCUACUACAGCCCUCACUGGUGAGUGAAAAAGCAGAGACCGUGCUUUCCAGCGCAAUCCGUGCGGCACCUUUGGCCACUGCUGGUACUGUCUGCAUGAAAGCACACAAGCAGGACUCGGAAAAAGAAAUGAAGGAAAAUUUGGAUGGAUUUUUUUUCGCCCAAACCAAAUUUGAUACCGGGAUUUCUGGACUUGUGGAAUAUUUAGAGAAGCUGAGAGCAGUUUGUGCAGCGUUUGGACAAGCACUAACCACUGGAAGCUCUGUUGUACUGCUUCCCUUUGGCUGGAACAGCGGGGAUGGUAGGGGUAAGCAACAGAAGCGCAUAUUGUGUGGCUUGCUGAGUUCGCGUAGGAAUGGCCUUGCUAGCGAUGGAGGGAAAAUCCAGACCUCCCAAGUACCAAACCAGCAUCUCCAUCGAAGAUCAUCCUUCUGCAUGGUUUCUGCUCUGGUUCCUGGAUGAUGCUCAACCCUUCUGUUCCUGCAGUGGAGCACGUGUUUGGGACAAUGCAUGCAGCAGCUGAUGGAGAAUGCGCUGGCAUUUUGGAGGUGCUCAGGUCUGUCCCAGGAUACAGGAAGAUCUCUUUAAGAGCUAAGCCACUGUUGUGCUGCCUCCCCAGCUAGUUCUGCAAACCAGCUGCCUGCCUGUGUGAGCACAGAUGCGACAAAGGAAUUGCUUGAAACUGGAAGUUCUUGCACCAGUCCCUUUCCAGCCUGUCUCCUGAUGCUGGCUAGUCCCCACCAUGCCCUCCAUCCUGAAGUGCAUCUGAUGGCGUUUCUAGCUGUAAGUAGGUGCUUAAGUUGCACAAAGCUUUUAAGCAGAGCUGGUAAAUACUUUCGUUUAUGUUACAGUUGCCUGGUCUAGUUGAAGAAAAAGCAAUGGAAAGGGGAAAAGGGAAGAAGAUGGGAGUCUUGCUGUCGCAGUUAGCCAGGUUAAAUGUCACUAAUGGCAUACAAAUACUACUACUUAUCUUAAGGGUUCUUUGAGCAAAGAGCUCCUUCCAGCAUCCAGUCUCUGCAGUACCCCCCAGUUCAUGUCACUGGUUGGCACUAAUCUUGAGGCAGUGACGUUAUUGGCCCUUCAAGGACCAACUCAAAUCCAACAAAGCUCUUGAAAAGAGCACGUCCCAGCUGCCGCCUGCAUAAACCAGAGCAGCAAACUAAGUGCAUAAACCAGUACCAUUCAACAGCUCCUCUGUUAAUGUAGCACUAUGUUCUUGCAAUUAAUGAGUUCUCCCAGUCAGAAGCUGACAUCAGUAGAGUAAGAAAACAGGCUCCAUGUUCACUGCAUGGAAAAAGGUGUGGGAAAUGAUCAUCCAUUUCUCACUUAGGUGUGACACACACAAUUCUCGUCUCUAGGAUCAUUUAUCCUCUAUCUUCAGUAUUUCUAGAGCCUAAUUAUUAUUAAAUCCCAGUGCCUUCCAGAGGUCUGUUUAUUCAAGACCUGCACAGACUGGGUAUGUGAGCUAUAAUGGGAUUUGGGCUCCUUUGGGAGGGAAAGCCCAGUCCAGCAUGCUCUGAGAAGCCAGCACUAUCCCUUACCUUUGCACCCAGGGCUGACUGCUGUAGUUCACAAUUCAAGAGCUGCACAGUAAAUUGCAUGUGGUCCAGAGGCUAUGGGGCAUCCAGGAGGUGAUUUCUGGAGGAACCCUACUUGUUAGUGCUGUUAGUUGUGUAGGGGCUAGAUGGGCAUUCACAGGUCAAAUUAUGACAGUUUUGCCAGGAAAGCCACCUGCUUAUCACAUGCAGAACUCCCCAAGUGAUCUUGUGCCAUGCUGCUUCAUUUCCUGUGGCACCGCCUUUUGCUCGAUCGCUUCCUAAAUUGUACUUUGCACCAGGCAAGACUGUGGAUGAAUUAUGUUCAUUUGAAGCAUUAUCAUUUAGAUCUGGCAGAGAGAUGACAAGUUUGCAAAAAAAAUGAAUGGAAAAUAAUCCAUUCUUUGCAGGCGGUCUGAAUUCUUCCGUCGUCUUCUCUCAAGGUCGCUGUCAAUCACGAGCACAGUUAUAUCUCAGCUCUUGUAGAACAUCUCUCCCUUGCUAUUCAGCUUCAUUAUGUUUCCUAUUUUCUCUUGCCUCCCAGAGCAGCAUUAUACUGCACUUUCAUUGCAGCUCACGAGGGAAGGGAGCCCUCAUAAGCAAACUUCCUGUGAAGGGAAUAGUCCUGAUAAAAAGCUGUUUGUGUGCGAUGAGAUGAUGCCUACCUUUCAACCACUCCUCUGUCUUCCUCUGUGGCCCAUUAUAAAUAUGACAGCAGGCAGGUACAGACUGCUCGCAAGCAGAGAACCUUUUCUUCCCCCUAACAAAUUAGAGCCCAGCUUCUCAGAAGGACAGCACUGAUCAUCUGCUUCUGUUUUCUAAGGUAAGGCUGAGAACAGCAAGCUGUAGUGCAGAGCCACAGGCAUGAACUCUGUGGGGCUGAAGUGUAUGCAGAAGCCCAUUUAACUCCUGGGGCCAAGCACAUCUUCUGCUACAAGAAGUUGUACCAGGGACUGGCUGGACCCUUUCAAUGUUUAUUGGUAAUUUUGUAGAAAACAUACUGUGUUGAAGAUGCUUCUCCGUUUGAGUUAACAUAGGAACGUUCUCCAAAAACACAGAGCAUGUACAGUAUUUUUAACAAAAAAUGGCUGCUUAAAAUGCAAGGAAGAGUGUAGCUAAUUAAGACUGAUCAUUUAAAAUUAGCGCAUGGAGGUGAGAGAAUACAGUCCAAUCCAAUUAGAGCAGAGCAUUUUGCUAAGGGCACAUAUAAAAACAGGUGCUCUGGAGGGGAAAAAAGUCUAGAGGCUUUUUUACUCCAGCCUACAAAAUGAGACUAUGCCUUUUUAUGGUAAUUUUAAUAUUCUUCCUAUGACUUUGCUUUGCAGUGGAAAAGAAACAGAGGUAAUGAACACGCAUAGUUCUUUAACAGCUGCAGCACAUGUAAUUUUUUUCCAGCUCUCCCCAAUUACCCAUAUGUGGUAUGAAACAUACAUUUUACUUUAAGACCUAGAGCAGAUCAGAAGCACUCAACAUGUUAUAUAUAUGUUCAGUUAGGAACUUUAAAUUAGAUUGCAGUUCAGUGUUGUGGACGGUGUCAGAACAAGGUUUGUUCCCAGCACAGUCUAAAUGACAGGGCAAUCGAUGAGGGCUAAGUAUGUCACCCUCUGAUUGUUAUAUACAGUAGAUAGGUGGCUCUGUGACACUCAGCAGUCCCACAGUUUGGAGAGAUGUUCCUUUUUUAAUUCCUCAAAUUCACAGCAUCCGCUCUCGGUUUGAUUCCUAUACCUCUUUUUUAUUAGUAAAACUGAUGUAUAUUAAGGAUAGAUGCAUGUUGUGCUGAGCGUGCGUCAUCUAAUUAAAGGGGCAAUGCAAACAUUUCUGAAGUUUCCUGUAUACAUUGACCUCUGGGGGGUCAUCUUUGUUUAUCAUUUCUUUGAACUUCGACAAACUGAUAUCUAUGUAGAGCUUUCUCGGAGGAAGGUCGGUUUGCUUUGAAAGGAAUAGCUCAUUUAAGCCCACUUAGGACAUGCUCCAAAGCCAAGAUGAGUCAGGGCUUGAACUGACCGCAGGUUUCAUUGAGCAAGUGGACACAUCCCUGCCCUCAUACAUCAGAGGUCUCUCAAUAGGCUGCUUUUCGUGUCUAUGGGUAGUGCACUCUGCCUGCUUAAGGCCUGCCUCGAAGGGUGACUGCUGUCCAUUGCCCUAUUCAUUCAGAGGGCUGUAGCCGUCAUUCUCAGACAAGCCACAGGCAAAAGUCUCACAGUUUUCAGUAGAUGAGGAGACCCACUAAUCCAUCCAAUGUAUGUUUGUCACAGCUCAGCGUGCUGCGUGGCUUUCGCUGCGUGGAGGUUGGCUGCCUCUCACGUCCAUCCAGCGCACCUUCAGAGCAAGUCACCUAGCAGUGCAGCUUUGGAGCAGGAUGUGACUCACGCUCCUGGGACUUGAGCACCAGGCCCAGGCAUAGCAGCAGUGAGAACAAACCCAGUGAUCACAUUAGAGUAUUCUCUGAUUUUACCAUAUGGAAAGCCUGAGGCAGUAGAGAGAAAGGUAGCAGGCCAGUCACCUUCUCCAGCACCACUGUUUUAUCGUUCUGUUGGAGUGGGAUUGCAGCCUUCACUCCAGAAGCCCCAGGCUCAGCUCACCAAAGAUCGGUCCAGUCUCCAGGCUGGAAGGAGCUCCUUGGUUGGAGCCCCCAUGGUCUCCUGAUUCUGCUGAUCAGGGAAAUCAUCUAGGGAUGAAAGCUCAACCUUGCUCUCAGACACAGCUGGGCCUCUCUCCUUGUGCCUCAGAUCAGGGGAAAGGAGUUAGUCUCUAGUCUGGAAGCACUGUUGGGGUUAGCUCCAUCAUGGGGUUAGCCCCAGUGAUUUGAUUUAGCAGUAAAUGGGUCUACCCCUCUGGGGCUAAUGCACAGCAUGCACCAUUUCCUCUAUAAAGUCUCUCCUUUUUGAGGUAGGGAAAUUAAAGCAGGGUAAGUGUAUAGAAGAAAAUCAGUAAGUAAAAUCUUUUCUUAUCUGUGACGUUAAUAGGUUGGAUCUGUAGUUUUUUUUCUUAGGCUGAACAGAUUCUGAUGUGAGCACACUGAUGUUGUUUCAAACCUGACAUUGUUUUUAGAAGGAAUCUCCAUGGUGUAAAUUGUAGCUUUGCUGGGGGAUGUGACUUGGAAAAUACAAGGGUGUGUAAAGAGAAUGUUCAAAGAAAAAUGUAUCCUUUGGAAAUGGAAUGAAUCAACUGGCUUUCCAGGGACAAAUUUAUAGGAUUCAGUUUGAGACAAUCACCACUGGUCUGUACAGCAGCCUUAGAGCCUUCAUAGUGCUUGAAAUUUUUUGUAGAAUUUGCACCUCACAUGGGACCAGAGAUCCAAAUGUUAACGUAGAGCCUUAAGGUUUGUGCCGUGCAUGCUAGCGAACAGAGAAAUUGUAGCUUCUAAAAUGUCAGAGCUCAGUCAGUAGAGUUGCACAGAAUUGCCCCCAUGAUUCAAAUUUUAUGGUUCUGUGUUUAAUUAAACCCUUGUUUGGUGUUUCAGUGCAUUCCUUGCUGCACUGAGGUAGCUACCUUUCAGUGACAUCUUCUCUUUUCUGUUUUAUUUGGGUAAUUAUGCUGCCUUGAUCACAAGCAAUAUUGGAGUUCUUUAAAGAAGUACCUUCAUCACAGGACUUGCGUUUAUCUUUGGUGGUUCUCCCUUCCUCCUUGUCCCCCUGGUGAUAACAUCGAAAAGACCAUCCUUUCAAACGUGAAGUACAUUGAGCACAAACCAGUGUGUGUUUCCCAGUUCUCCUUGGAGAUUAGACUUCAGCAAUGACGAGACAGAUGGAAUGAGUCCACAGGCCUCUGCAGGGCUAGACUGCAAAACCACAGACUUCACCAAAGCCCUUUGAGCCAGUGAGCCUCCCAGCAGAGUCCCUGUCCCUCUUUUUUGACUCAGGCCUGGAAAUAUAGACAGGAUCUUUAAGCAUUUGCCAAGCUGCGAAGAGAGAGAUGGGGUCAGGCUGGCCAACCCUCUGAGGUGGCGGCAGAAGAGAAGGAGAUGAGCCUGGAUGAAUGCAGCAAUCCACCUGACCUUCAAGACUCGAAAAGUGGUUAGGACAAGACAAGGUUGUCCUUCCUUUUAAGGCUCCUCAGAAGAGGCUUCAGCCUGACAUGAGGGGAGCCCGGGGAGGACCGAAGCGGGUCUGGAGGAGGUGCAUGACCUUCUGAAAAGAUCCUGGUACAACACCACCACUAGAAGCAAGAAGCAGAUGCGUCCGUGUGGCUUUUGUGCAUCUAAAGGCAGAGAAAGAAGUAGUGCAAGAUCUGCUCGGUGCUGGAGAGGGAAGAAUUUCCAUGUUUCUGAACUGCACGUGCAGCUCUCCCUGCGGCAGGCAUCUGAGAAAAGCCAGGAUGGACCGACAGCUGAGCAGGCAGUCUGACUGAAGGAAAAGAGCUCGUAGGGCACUUAAGAAGCCCUUCCCCGCUGAACUUUGGCUUCCGCCGUUACAGCUCUCUGUGGGACAGGACAGCGUAACCCCGGCGAGCCUCCCCCCUCCAGGGCCUGCUGAUGAGAGCGGAGGCCCCUUUAGGUGCCUUUCCACCACCGGUAACCACAGUUCCUCCCUCUCUGUGAACUCGCCAUUUCACCGUGCCCAGCCGUACGGCCGUUCAGCACAACACGUGCAAAGCCCUAACGAAGCCCAGGGCAGGAAACUGGCCUUUGCAGACGUGUCUGAGGCUGUGGUUACGUGGCCGUUUUAAUUAGCUGUAUGCCCGCGCUGCCACCGGAGGAGAUGUCCUGCCCGCCUCGCCGCUCGCAGCCGCCCGUCCCCUGCCUUUGCCGGACUGCUGCUCACACGGCCGCAGCGGGAGCGAAGAAGAGGGGCUGUCGGCAGGCUGGUGCCCUGCCCCGGCUGGCUGUGGGGACACACCUCGCUGCCUCGGCGCGGUCCGGGGGACGGCGUGCCCGGCUGCGGCGCGGCUGAAGCGCUGCCGUACGCAGCCUCUGGCCGCCGCUCCCGGGGGGAAGCGCCCUGCGCGCUCUUCCCUGCUUCGUGUCGCCGCUCGACACCCGGCUGGUGGCUCUGGCUAACGUGAAUACUUAAAGGGGUGGCUUAAAGUGCGGGUCCGUGUUGCUCUUGCAGUCCUCCAUCCUCAUGAGACGCUUGCCUUACCGGCUGUCGGUCCAGCAAGGCCUGUCUCGUCCCGGUGGCAAAACAGUUGUUUGCUUUUUUAGCGCAUCUCGGGCUCCCAAUGAUUAAAAGCCCUGUUGUUCUUAUUUUGCCGUUAAAUGGACGUGAGGAGGCAGGACAGCAAACUAGAGAACAGUCCUGAGGCUAAGACACAAUUAUCGAGGCAAACAUGGGAGAACAUUUAGCUGGCGAAAUGAGGUUAGCGAGGCAGUUUGUCCCCACAUCUGGCCAGAGACUGGCUUUAAUCUUAAUAUACGCGUGGCCUGCGGCCAGCGCACCUCGAGCUGUUAUCCGUCACGUGUCAGGAGUUAAACAGGGCCGGGAGAGCGGAGAGCUUGGCUGCGACCUUCCCGGGGACCUGCUGAGCCGGGGCCUUGUGCAGGCAGAGGGUGCCCGAGAUCUGGCCACGGGCGUUAGAGGGGGAACCUCAGGCUUGGCCACAUCACAGCGUUUCCUAAAAGUGCAGGUGGUGGUCCCUGGAUCCUUACCAGCUCCUGUGGUUACCUCCGCGCGUCCUUUAACCUCCCUGUAACUUCCCCUGCAAAACGGGCUCUCCACAGAGGAAGAGAGCAGAGAAUGACACAUUUCCCCAUCACGGGUACCUGUGUAGCAGCACCAGGGAGGAAAUCCAGGUAUUUACCUACGGCCAAGAUCAGACAUUUAUAUAGGUACCGCUCUGCUAACUUCACCCCUUCCAAGAGACCUGAAAUGAGUCCAGCUUCUGAAGAGCAUUUAAAUGGUCCCAGGAAGAAAACUGCCUUGUACCACCCUCCUCUGAAUGCAGGAGCAUAGGCCAAGGUAACAGAUGUGCCACCACACGCUAGUUUACAGGUGACUAUUUCGUGUUUCCCUUUCUGAGCCUUGCUGGAGCUGAAUGCAACCAACAGUACUGUUCACUUAUGAAGUGGAGGAGAAAAGCUUUGCUUUGAUUAAACUGACUUGCCUUUGGAUGAAAGUGUGUGUGGUCCUGCAGAGACACAAGCAGAGAAGGACAGCACUGCAGAUAAGGAACACCAGAGGAGAUAAUUCCUAAAAAAAGGAAUAAAUGAAAAUGUACUGGGAAGGUAUAUGCAAAACCAUGAACAUGCUUUUGCUGAGGUUAUAGUCAGUGAUUGACCAUGUAAAAAUGGGACUGGCCUACAUUUAUUUGUAGUGAUUUCCUCUGUACUAGUUGUUCUGUGUUUAUUUUUCAUUCUCCAUGACUUCUAGGCUGUUUACAAUGCGUGGCCCUGAGGGCACUGAUAGACCUUAAUGACCCUGACCAGCCUGACCCGGGGCCUCCUCCUACACCUCCCACCAGCCCAUGGGCUCUGGGGCCCUGUUUAAGCUCAGGCCUUCCUUCUCUGAGCUAUGCUCUGAGGGUGUUGAUGUCCAGCUCAGCCAUCAUCUGUGCUCCUGCCUGACCAUGGACUUCUGGUCUGUGCCCCGACCUGUGGGCCGACUUCCCGGCCAGACCUCAGGCCUGCACUGUCCGUAUGGACCUUCCAGCAGCUGCCAGACCUGAUCCUGACUCGUGGAUUGACUUCCUGGCUGGCCUCAGAUCUGCCUCAUCACCUUGAACGUGCCUGAUGAGCUGGGCUCUUGGUUGAAUCUGGAUAUGACCUCAGGGCGUGCCUUGCCCGGGGGUGGUGGGAUGGGGCCCUGGCUGGGGAGGCCUCUGCCCUGGUGGCUGUUACUGCGCUUGGUUCCCAGCUCCCCAUCUCUUAGGGAGCAGCUGACCCUUGCUGAUCCCUGACAGCUUUUCUUUUGUGCCCUCCACUCCUCUCCCUCCCCAACCUUGGAUUUGAAAAAAAUCAGUCCUGCCGCUUAAGCUGUGUCCUGCAGUAAAGACUCAGUAGGCAAGAGCUGGGGGUCUGCACUGGCAUGUGAGAAGAGCUGGCUGCUGUGUCAGGCAGUCUUCUUCACCUGCAGUUAAGUAUCUGGGAUGGUCAGAGCAGCCAGCAACUUCAGUCUGCUGCUUUUGUUGUUUUGGACAAACCUAAUGCUAGGUGAGGUGUUAGGCUCGGAUGGUGUGUCCUGUUCUGAGCUGCCCUUUUGAGCAGGUGAAGCAGUGAAGAUGCUGUCCAGAUCCACUUCCCCUGCCAGGCUCAGACUGUUCAGAGGAGCAGUGUUGGUGCACGGGUCGUUGCAGCCCUUAGUCAUAGCAACGAGGACCAAAGGGGCCAGAUCCUGAGCUGCAUGGGUUUGCACUGCUUGGCUUUUGUGUGUGAGGCUGUGCUGAUUCUCUACACCUGACUACGUGGCCUGGGCGCGGGGGGAGAGCAGCCCUUCUUCUUACUCCUUAGCUCAAAAGGAAAUGUUGGUAAGGCGGGUCCAAAGCCAAACCUCUUUGUGGAGUAUUUUCUAUUAAGUAAUCAUUUGCAUUCCUCCAGUAUCUGCACUUGUAAGCACGCAGUGGCUUUUUUGAGAGCUCACUGUGGGCCAAAAUCUAACCCUGCUGAAGGCAGCUGGACCUCUUGUCUUGUACUAUAGCAGUUUGGGAAUCUGGACCAUGCGAUGAGGUUGGUCUGGCCAUGGUGUUUCUUGGCUGUAAAGGAUGGGAAAUGUCUGCGGCUGGGCUGCAGUACAACACGGUACUAGAAGAGCUAAGGAGAUUAAUUAACCUGCUCAGCAUUUUUGCUUUCCUCGCUCCACACACUGUACAGCCCUACAAUGCUUUUAUUGUAUGGAAAACAAAGCUCUUAUGCUUGAAUGUAGCAGCUACAGUAUUGUGUUCUUGCCUUAAGUGAAGGCUCCUCAAGUGAUUUAAGUCCUUCCUUGUCACUGUUGAUAGAUAGUUGCCAGGGUUAAGAGAACUUCCUCCUUUUCUUUCUUAUUCUUCUGCUUAAUUUGUAGCCAGGGGGAAAAAAAAAAAAAGAGGUGUUUUCAUGCAGGGCCAAGUUAUUAACAUCUUAUUUGGGUAGCAGGCCCAGCAGUAUUUCCAGAAGUAAAGCAAUUACAGUUUAUCCAAGUUUUUGGAGACAUCUGAAAAAAAGGACAUUGUCUUUCCUUCACAUGGGGGAGAAGCUGUUUGCACCAGUUGCCCGUCUCUCCUGGGUGUCAGCACAUCGAUUUGACAGGAGGCCAGGAGAGAGCCUGUGCUUGCAUGCCUGGAAAUCGGGGAAGGAUGCUGUGGUGUAAAGAGUGACCUUGCGUUCAGGAAGGGCUGGUUCAGUUCCUUGCUCUGACGCAGGCUCCCUGUGUGGCUUUUGUCUGCAGGAGAAAGUUGCACCGCUUCUGAACUGCCUUAAUUAAACUGGAACAAACCAUUGUA